GGAUUGUCAUGGUUGAAGAUACCCAUUUCCACAGAGCUGUCCUCUGACUUCCACACCUGUGACAUGUGGGUGUUCUCUCCUCUAGGUAUUCAAAGGAAAUAAAUGCCAAAAAAAAAAAAAUUCAGGCUGAAAAUUAAUUACCUACAAUUUACUUAUUAGACAUAUUACAUGUGAGCUGUGGCAUGCACUUGGAGGUCAGGAGACAACCUUGUGGCAUGGAUCUUGUCUACCUUCAUAUAGGUUCUGAGGGUUGAAUUGAAGCUGCCGUGCUGGCGUUAUCUAUCAGACAGGUGCCUUCACCUGCUGGACCAUUUUGUUGGCCCAAAUUUACUUACUGGUUCUGAGGUCCAAUAUAGAGCCUUGGGAAUACCCAGCAUGCACGCUGCCACUGAGCUAUGCUUCCAGCUCUAGGAUAUCUUAGAAUUUUUUAGUAUGAGUAAGAAUUCAUAAGAUUUUUUUUCCUUAGUAGUAAAAAGUUUCACACUGUGCUGGGGAUGUAGCUCAGUUGGUAGAAUGCUUGCAUAGCACACAGAGGCUCUAGGUUCUAUACUGUAUAAGCCGGACUUGACACAAUACCAAUACUUGGGAAAUGGAGCCAGGAGGAUCAGAUGCUCAAGGCUGUAGUUAGCUAUAUAUGAGUUCCAUCCAGCCUGGGGCACCUGAGACCCUGUUUCAAAAAAAGUUGGGCAUAAAACUUUAUAGUGACAAGUCUGAAAACAGUAUCUUUCUAGUUAGGAGCACUUAAUUAUGACUGAUAAAGGAAUAUUGUUAAAUUCUUUUCAUUAAAAGGGUCAUAAAAACCUGAUUCUAUGGCAUAGGAUUAUAUAUGAAAACUUGACUAAUGUGAGUUGGAUUUCCAAGACUGAUUGAAAACAAAAAGUUGCUUUGUAUGACUGUUUUUGAAAGGUACUUGGUAAUCGAAAGUGGAGUGGCUGCCAGAGUUCCUAAGAGUUUCAGUUUUGUCUUAGGUUUCAGCUGAGGACUAGGGUACGUAGGCAUGUUUUAAUGUCUCAUGAAGUCCUUCACGUGUAACUACAUGUAGAUAGACACGGAAAAUCAGUGCAGCAGCAUCUGUCUGGGUGGUUUUUGUUUUUUUUUUUUUUUUUUUUGCAUCUGCCUGUUUUUAAUGGAGUUUCCCCAGUUGGUUUGUAGAUUUUUGUGUUUGCUUUGUGUGUGUGUGUGUUUGCAUUUUGAUCGGUGGCUCCUGGAGGUUUAGGUAGUCCGCUCUGUGAUAAUAAGUAGUAUUUUCUAAUUCUCAACAGCUUUAGAUCAUCUAGCUCAACUGCCUUUGUUUUAGACAGCGGAGCUCAGGGAAACUCAGGGCUCCAAGGUUAUUAACUCACUGUCACACAGAACUAGGAAGCCUGAAGCCCAGACAGGAGUCCUGUAUUUUGUUAUGCAUUUUCCUUCCUAAUGAGAAGAAAGCAAAAAAGGCCAUUUUGGCCGGGCGUGGUGGCGCACGCCUUUAAUCCCAGCACUCGGGAGGCAGAGGCAGGCCUGUUCUACAAAGUGAGUUCCAGGACAGCUAGGGCUCUACAGAGAAACCCUGUCUCGAAAAACAAAGCAAAAAAAAAAAAAAAAAAAAAAAAAAAAGACCGUUUUGCCUUUACCUUGGGUAAUUUUAUCUAAACACUUAUUUCAUACAAACAAAACAAAACAAAACACCAACCAACAACAAAAACAAAAACAAAAAAACACCCCCAAACCACUCAUAUCAGAAAUAUGGGAAAAAACUACAGGAAAAGAACAUUUAAAAAAGGAGUGCAGAGGAGGAGGUAUUUGGGGUAAAGUUGGUAGCUUGCCCAAGGCUCUGGAGUCAAUGCCCAGAGCAGCAGAACAACAGAAGAGUGUCCGCAUAGCUGCUUAUCUUCCUGACUUACCCUGGUCCCCUGUGUCACCACUGUGGUCCUUCCUGUGACUCACACAGCUGCAGAACUGGUGUCCACCUUUGGUCUUUUCUCACUGUAGACUAAGAUCCAAGUUGCUGUCAUUGUCAUAUUUCCUGAAAAUAAAGUCAGGUAUAUUUUGUUUAGAAAAAUCAUACAUUUCUUCUUAUGUAUAACUGGGUCAGAUCUACCCUACAGUACCUUAAUUUGACAUCAGAAGACAUGUGCACUCAGAUCCUGACCAUUCUUUUUCCACUUCAUUGAAUUGAUUUAUAGUGUUGAACUACAUUUUCUAGGACUUAGGUCUUCCCCUGUCUGAUACUUACGUUUUACCUAGGAUGGGGUCGUCACUGACAGUCCUCUUACUCAUUUCUUUGUCCUUACACAUCAGGCCACCUCUUGUUCAUAUUUCAGUACCCAGCUUUAUUUGCUUUCUGCCGGAAGUCUCCCCUCAGUCAUUCAAUGUGCUUACCUGUGCCUCUGUUCCUCCUUACAGAUACAGUUUCACUCGCAAAGAUGUUGCAGUCUUUCCAAGUUGUUAGCUUCAGUGUCUAGUAUACAGUUGGGUAUAUAUACACAAUCAAAAACUAUGUAGAUUUUGUAGUGUAGGGUGCAGUGGCACAUACUCCACCCAGCACUCAGGAGGCAGAGGAAGGAGAAACCUUCAACUCCAACUGGGCCACACGAGACCCUGUUGGAAACAAACCCAAAUUGUUGAAUUUUAAAAAUUCUACAAAGUGGUAAAUGUGCUUUCAUGACCUUAAGAACAAAUUGAGCUAGGUAGUGGUGGAGCACGACUUUAAUACAAGAACUUGGGAGGCAGAGAGGCAGGUGGAUUUCUGAGUUCGAGGCCAGCCUGGUCUACAGGACAGCCAGGGCUAUACAGAGAAACCCUGUCUCGAAAAACCUAAAAAGGAAAAAACAAAACAAAACAAAACCC
rnacentral:lncRNA from 1 species